UAUGUAUAAUUCCAGAUGUAUUCAUGUUCCCUCAUAUUUCAGAAAGUAUGCUAUUGAUAUCUUGAAGUAAUGGUAUAUUCAUGAACAGGCCAAAAGUACUUGAGGUCACUCCAACUAGCCCUCUCUUAACCGGAGGAAAAAAAACCGUAGUUGUUGAGCAUGAGUUAGUCAAGUCUGUUUUUAGUAUGUAUGAUUUCAAAAUGCAUUCAAAUCCUUGAAUGUUAUGAUUGAAUAUGGUUUGAAAAUGGAAAUGAUUUGAGGCCUAAUUGGUUGUAUUUUUAUUUUUUUAUUUAGUUUAGGAGAUAAAAGUGAAACUAACCCAAUAAGAAAAGAUAAAUGUAAGGUUGUGGUAUUAUAUAUAAUAUUAGUGAGGGGGUUAAAUUUGGAAGAGAAUUUUGGACAAGGAAGUUGUAAAAUUUGAGAGAAGACAAAAUUGAGAUGGAAUUGUAAAAUCUGGGGGCUCCUUUUUCUUUUUUUUGGUUUCCUGUAAAACUGGUAUUGAUAGAAGACAAAAUUGAGAUGGAAUAGGCUGGUCACAGAGCUUAAAAUAUUUAAGAGAUGUGUUAAUAUUUUAUCCUUGCGAACAGUUAAUUGGGCAUAAUCUUACCUAUUUGCUUCAUUACACACUUUAAUUUGUUUGGAUUACCAGCUUCGGAUCAUUAUAAAACCAAAGUCAUGCAUUGGAGUUGGGCCUUUAUGUACUGCACAGCAGAUGUGUUACCAUGUUCUUCGGCUAUUACAUGGAAUUUGGACUCCUAUUCCUUGAUCUAUGAAAGAUUAUAUUACAUACUUUAAAGCCCAAUGGUUAUCAAAGUCUUCAUACUCCAUUUCAUUAUGGGAGCAUGUUUCGGCUGGAAGUUCAGGU